UUGUAAUGGCAACACAGACUUAGACGCCUAGUGCCCAGCCUAGGUGCCCUGAUUCCGAAUCAAUUUUCUUCAGGACCGGGCGCGAGCUACACUGCUGCUACGUUGCUUCGAAGACCGACGCCUUGAGAAUGUAUAUCAAGCCGUUCGGAGCGUACGUGCGGAAGAAGAGAAGCACUUGAUUAGAUUGAGGCGUCAAAUAACCUCGGCCAGCCAUCGUGGCAUAUCCACGGCCAUCGAACCUGUACUCUUGAGGGCCAGACUGCGAGGAGAUCAAUUUAUCCCUGGGUUCUGUGGAGUUACCUGUCAACGAUGACUUGGUACCAGCGGUUGUCGGCAACCAUCUUGUCAAUGGAGACCCUCGCCGGAUCCUGGCCAGGUUCGGAGCUGUCCCCGAUGUCCAUCACUACAUACGGGUAUCCGUUCUGAAUGCCGAUCACCAUGUAGUCGUCCUAAAAAACGGUAGUGUGAAAUAUUAGAAAUUGUGUUGAAGUGUUGUGAGUGCGUUACAUGUGUGAGUGUGUGUUUUUAUGAUGUGCGCGUGUUACGAAGUGAGUGUGAGUUUGUGUGUUAUAUAGUGCCGGUUAUAUUUAGUGCGUGUACUCAUGAGUGCGUUAUAAGUUUAUUGUAUGCUGUAAUAUGGUACAAAUCAUUGUUAUGUUGUUAAUAGUGUAAGAAUAUUAUGAUUUUAAGACAUACCGAUUUGGUUCUCCUCAGCAUGGUUCCCUUAGGGUUGCCGAGGUACAGAAUGAAGCCAUCCUUUUCCUUUGUUCGGAAGUAUGCCGACACGUGCGUGGAGGUUGACAUCUCAUCGACCGUAUCCGGUAGGCGGGGUUGCAAUGUCGACCACCGAUCAAACGUCACUCCAACUUGAAUGCGAUUAGCUACCGUACGCGCCUGGGGUUAAGAGAGAAGCGUUAAUUUUGUAAUGAAAUUUCUUUUCGAAACUAGUCGGGGUAGGUGGGAAGGGUGAACUUACAAAAAUAAAUAAACAGAAUACAAAACCGCGUAAUCAUAUAUAUAAAUGUCUUAUCAUGAAAAUUACCGUGCAUCAUUAUUACAAAAUACGCGAUUUGUAAAUUAUUAUAGAUAAAAAAAUAUAGAAUGAAUAAAUCAACAAAAAGCUAGUCAAUUAACUUUUGGUCACCGUAUCACAAAUUCCGACUCAACAAAAUUAAUAUGUAAAUAAAAAAUUAUAAGUAAUUUCUAUUCGGUCGCGGUAAAACAAACUAAAUUCAAGAAUACGAUAUUCAUUAUAACUAAAAAAAUGUUACCUGCCUAUUUACUGAACUGAAAAAAAAACACAAGCCUAUUUAAUGAAUUGAAAUGAUUGGGUUAAACAAAUUUCUAAGAAACAGCGGAAGGAGGAAUUCUCUUAAGCAUAUUAGAGUAAAUCUCGUUUUGUCGGUAAAUCCAAUAGGGUCAAAGAAAACAUUUAAAUUGAAAAAAAGUAUGUAUGUGUAAUCACAGCAGAUAAACCAACAAACAAUAAGUGGUCGCGGUAGAGCAAACUAAAUUCGGAAUACGAUAUUCAUUAAAACAAAAAAAAAACACAAGCCUAUUUAUGAAUUGAAAUGAUUGGGUUAAACAAAUUUCUAAGAAACAGAAGAAGGAGGAAUCCUCUUAAGCAUAUUAGAGUAAAUCUCGUUUUGUCGGUAAAUCCAAUAUGGUCAAAGAAAACAUUUAAAUUGAAAAAAGUAUGUAUGUGUAAUCACAGUAGAUAAACCAACAAACAAUAAAUAAGUGGUCGCGGUAGAACAACCUAAAUUCAGAAUAUGUUAUUCCAUAAAGUUACAAAAAAAUGUUACCAGCCUAUUUACUGAAUUGGAAUUAAUGCGUUAAGUAAAUAUUUAAGAAACACGGAAAGGGGUGAUCCCCUUAGGCGUAUUAGAAUAAAUCUCAAUUUAUCGGUCAAUCCAAUAUGGUAAACAUGAAAAUAAAAAUUGAACAAAAAUAUGAUUGUGUAAUCACAGUAGAUAACCCAAUAAACAAUAAGUGGUCGUGGUAGAGCAAACUAAAUUCGUAAUAUGAUAUUCAUUAAAAUAAAAAAAAUGUUACUAGCCUAUUUACUGAAUUUGAAUUAAUUCGUUAAACAAAUAGCUAAGAAACAGAGGAAAGAGGAUCCUCUUAGGCAUAUUAGAAUAAUUCUCAUUUUGUUGGUCAAUCAUGGUCACUUUGAAAAAAUUUAAAAUUAAAAUUUAAAAUUGGUAUAACAAACUAAAUUCAGAAUACGUUAUUAAUUAAAACUAUAAAAAUGUUAUAUGCCUAUUUACUGAAUUGGAUUUAAUGGGUUUAACAAAUUUCUAAAAAACAGAGGAAGAGGGGAUCCUAUUAGGCAUAUUAGAGUAAUUCUCACUUUUUCAGUCAAUGCAAUAGGGUCAUUUUGAAAAAAAAAUAAAAAUAAUAAUAAUUAUGUUUGUGUAAUCACAAGUAGAUAAAUCAAAAAACGAUAAGUGGUCGCGGUGGAACAAACUAAAUUCGGAAUACGAUAUUCAUUAAAACUAAAAUGCUAAAAAUGCUACAUGCCUAUUUACUGAAAUGGAAUUAAUGCGUGAAAUAAAUAUCUAAGAAAUCGAGGAGGACCAUCUUAGUCAUAUUCGAUAAAAAAUAUACGCAACCGCGAUCAUUUUAAAACCUUCGUGAGUACUAAGCGAAACAUAAAUAUGGUCCACGGGCUAGCAAAAAUCCACCCUAAGUUGGCAUACUUCUGGCAUUGGACAAGAGUAAAAAAAAAAAAGAAAAAAAGCAAAUAGUUUUUACGAGACCGAAUAGACUAGCAAACAUUGGCAGAAACUUGUCUAAAACAUUACGUAGGCCUUGGUAAUAAUACCAGACUCUGCACGAGUACCUGUUCGACUAAGUCCUUAAGUUUCUGAAGUUUUUCGUCUGCGUCUCGACGUCGUCUCUCCAAAUCUUCUUGACGCAUCUUCACGGUGUGAUACGAUGACGAGAUUUGCGGCUCCAUGUCAUUGAUGUUUUUAACUGUUACCGAAAAAAAAAAAACAUUAUAUAAAUAAAUGUUCUGUGAGUAAUAUAAUAAUUUGAGUCCGCCAGGGACCACGGUACUCGAUGUAGGCUGGUGCAAAACAAUAAAUUGGAUUUAUGUUAUGUUUGAAAAAAGAAAAAAAAACAGUGAAAUUGUUAUAAAAUGUUAACAAAAAAAAAACAAAAAAGAAAAGAAGAGAAUGUUGUAACAAGAUGUCUUCAAGCAUGUUUGCAUUCGCACAAUAAUCAAAAAUAACAUUUUUUUUAUUUUUUUCUGUGACACUGUAUUUGUAUCGGUCGGGAGGAAGUCCCACCCAGUUGGGUCACGGCCGGCCAAGAAAACAAUUGUCCUUUCUACUGUGCGAGUCGUUGUUGAAGAAGUCACGCUGUUGUCAAACUUACGGUGGCUCUCAACAUUCGAAGUCAUUUUCUGGCCCUCGUCAGCCAGCUUGGGCAGGGUCUGGGCCCAGUCCUUGCUGGUCGCGAGCUCGGGUCCUAGAUGUGACAUGACGCUGAAGGUGGUUCCGAUCGUUGCAUUUACUCUGUCUGCUUUGUUCGUCUCUUCUUCUAAGUUGUAUAGCGUUGUCGUCAUCGUCGGCCCUGCUCAAGUGGUCUCGGAUCUUUCUGAGCACCUCCUCGGUGGCGGUGAGGUUGGGUAGGAGCUUUUGGUCGACGGCGUGUUGGGC